UGUCUUCAAUCUCUUAUACACAUACACACACAUGUAUUACAUGCAGACACAUACAUAUACACACAUACAAUUUCAAUCCAGUUCAGUCCACUCCUACACGGCCCUAACCUUCCCAAAAUUAAUUACAAAAAAUUCUCUCCAAACCCAGUUUUAAUGGAGACCAUCGCCCGGUUUGGCAACAAAUGGAUCACCAUCGCCCCCUCCUCUCGAGUCGAACCGACAAGGCCAAAUAGAACUACUGGAACUCCACCCUCAAGUGGGAAUUGAUCGUCGAUGAGUAUCGACGAAGGCGAUGGAGUAUUUAAAUCAGCAGCCAUUGAAGAGAUCGGUGAGUGCGGAUUCUCCCCUUUCAGUUUUGGGUCUGUAUCUCAGACUGGGUACUCCAUCCGGGUUGGAUGUAAUCGAAUCGAUUCGACUAGUUUCGUGUUCGACGUCUCACAUACCAACCUGAAAGUGAAUCCAGCCUUAUCCAAAUAGAUCCGGUGAUGCUGCAAAAUCAGAGUACGGACUUAAUAUCGUGAUGACGAUCUCUGUUAAGGAGAAGCGAUAAGGGGGAAUACCAACAAUAGAGAUGACAGUGGUGCCGCUGCCGUAAGAGGUGGAGGAUGUGUUUGGGCCGUUCAAUAAGGAGUUUUUGGCGGUGAUACAAUCGUCGUCGGUGAUGGCUCGAGCAAGGAGUUGGACCAUGCACUCCGAGCUUCGAAUUCGUCCGAGUGGUGUGCUGUCGGCGGCGAGCAUCUACGAUAUUUAUGGGUCAUGAUUUGUAUCGAUCUUAUUCACUGACAUCUGGUAUUCAUAAUCUUCCUGAAGAGAGGGAAUUAACAGAACUGGUUUAGGGAAUGAAUAAGUUAGGUGGAGAAGGGCAAAAGUGUAUUUUUAAAAUUAUGAAAUUUUAUCAUUAAAAUUAUGAUGGGGAAUUUUGGUUCUUUGAACCAUUUAAGGGCAUGUUUGGAUAAAAAAUUCUGGGUGUCAUUGUUCAAAGUCUAGUUUAUAUAUGAUUGUUAUUAUAAUAAAUUUCAGGCGUGUUAAUGUGUAAUUAACCCUAGUAAUUAUUAGGAAAAUUGGAGAGAGAACCAAAACUAUACCAAAGACACGGUGGUACAGGAACAGAGCUCUCACGCAAGUACAUUUGUUACCUGCGUGUCUUCGUUAUUUUUUAAUAUGCCUGCAAUGUGCUUGAAGAAUGUCCUCUAUGAAAACUGGUUGUUAGAGACACGAUUGAUUUAGAAUACCGUUGUCGAUUUGUACUCGACCACCAGCGAGAACCGAGCUAGCAUAUCUUCCCACUUCCCACAAAACCAAAUCUCAAAGUCCGUCAAUGGCGACCCAAGUCCUCAGAAAGUUACCAUUCAAACUCUCCACAAAAGGCCCUUCAAUGGCCGUCGUGCGCUCGAAAACGACCUCUUCCCAGUACGUAGCAUCCAGAGCUAGAGACCCCACAUUCGAGAAACUCAUGGACAAGUACAAGAACCUCCUCAAAGUGAUCGCCAUUCAAGACCUCAUCCUUGCAAACCGCAGCAACAACCCACCGUCCGUGUCCCUUGAAUUCCUGAACAGACUCUCUCAAAAGCUCCAUCUCAACCGCGGCGCAGCCGCCUUCCUCCGCAAGUACCCUCACAUUUUCGACAUUUUCUAUGACCCCAAGAAGUCCCAACCUUUCUGCAGAUUAACUGACAGUUCUACUCAAAUUUGCCGCCAAGAAGCCGCCGCCAUAAGCGAUUCCUCGCCACUUGUCGUGGAUCGUCUGGUUCGGAUUCUCUCCAUGUCUGCCUCCAAGUCGCUGCCACUUCGAGCAAUUUUCAAGGUCUGGAGGGAGUUCGGACUCCCUGAUGAUUUCGAGGACUCGGUAAUAUCCAAAAACCCUCAUCUUUUUAAGCUUUGUGAUGCCCAUGAACCUAAUACUCAUAUAUUGAAACUUGUUGGUGCAAUUCCCAGUAAUAAUUUUGUGGCCUCGGUUGAGAAUUGGAGGAUUACAGAGUGCUGUAAGGAGGAUUCUAGUGUUGAUAGGACUGAAAUGCAGUUCAGUUUUAAACAUGGGUUUCCACCAGGAAUGAGGUUGAGUAAGAAUUUUAGAGCCAAAGUUAAGGAGUGGCAGAGAUUGCCGUAUGUUGGGCCAUAUGAGGAUGUGGGAGAGAAGAAGAGAACUAAGAGUGGAAUAAUGGCAUUAGAAAAACGGGCGGUUGGGAUUGUGCAUGAGUUCUUGAGUUUGACGGUAGAGAAGAUGGUGGAGGUGGAGAAGAUUAGUCAUUUUAGGAACUGUUUCGGGAUUGAUUUGAACAUAAGGGAUUUGUUCUUGGAUCACCCUGGGAUAUUUUACUUGUCAACCAAGGGGAAGAGACAUACUGUUUUUCUGAGAGAAGCAUAUGAGAGGGGGUGCUUGAUUGAUCCGAAUCCAGUUUACAAUGUGAGGAGGAAGCUUCUUGAUCUUGUUCUUAUGGGGCAUCGUGGUUUGUUUAACGGUGAUUCUAGAUCAAGGGAUAUUGACAGAAGCAUGGAGGAUGAAACAGAAGGGGAGGAAAGUGGAUGAGCCAAUGAAUUUACAAAUUUGAAAUGUAACAGAAUUGAAUACUAGGGAUAGAGUCCCUUCAUAAAAAAAAAGGGCCCCAAGAUAUUUGAUUGCAGGAACUGCAGGAAUAGGGCUGGAAUUAAUUUGACAGUGCAGGUAAUGCAUGACUGGAAUGAAGGUUGGACAUGAAUGUGAUGUCGGCCACAUUAGUAUUGGUGGACAUUACAUCUAAUGGGCAUUUGCCAUGGCAAGCCUUGGUGAUUCAUAUUCUGUUGUGCAAAAUUAGUGGCGGCCACUCUAAAUCCAAUGUCGUUUGUGCUAACAGAGUUCCCUUCAGUAGAGGUACUAGUUUAUAGUCAUCUCCCUCUCUCUCUCUCUAUAUAUAUAUAGUACUGCAUAUCUCUCUGUGCUGAAUCCAUGUUUUUCUCCUUCUAAUGGUUAAGAUGCUUGAAUUUAUUUUGUUGUGAUGAUUGAAGUUUUAUAAUGUAAAUGUUUUCCUUUUAGCAACUUUAGCUACCAUUAAAGAUGUUGGUGUGAACCUGUGCUAUGGAUGGAGUUGAAGUAGGUGCAUAUUUUGGUUUUUAUAUUUUGAUUUUAAAUUAUUAAACAACCUGACAUAUAACUAAAAUGAUUCGUAUCUUUGUACACUUAAAAUAACCAUAAGACAUUUUUCCUCUGCUAACCUUUUUAUAAUCAGGUGAAUAACCCAUUCACGGUUAACUAGUAGUUUUGGUUUAUUCUGAAUACUUUUCCAGUGCUCCCUUAUUAGGCCAUUGUUGGAUAUCUCUGCAACAUGCUGUAUUUUCAUUUCUUUUUUCUGAAAACCAGGAUUGAUGAAAGCAAAUUAGGUAUUAUUCUGCUAAACAAUCUUUAGUGAGGAAACCUUUCGAAUAUCUUCUUUACUUUGAACUCAUGAUCUUGUCCAUCAAUUGCAGUUAGGUUGCUCAAAUUGGUUGGGGAAGAGGAUGAUUGGAUGCCACAUGGAGAAACUGGAGAAUCUGGGGUUAAGUCGAUUUUAGCAAAUAAUGUUAGAUUGGCUAUUCGGAUUAAUAAAAUGAAUAAACUCCAUUUUGGUGAUUUAUUGUUUGGACGAAUUGGAUCUUUGAAACAAUAAUCUUGGAUUUAUUACAGGUAGAAGCAUAAUUAAGGAUGAUUUGGGAUUUUUGAUGAAUUACUGAUGGAUUGUUUCCCCCCAGGUUAUAACAUGAAGGUCUUGAGAGACUGUAUUAAGUUUGCCCAUCGAAAAUUCCUUUUGAGUUCCCAAUUAUUUAGUUUAAAUCAGAUGGUUUAUUAACUAGUGAAAUCACCUUUGAGCCAUUCAUGAACUGUUUAGGAGCAUAAUUCAUUAAAAUCGAAGUCUCAAUGUUAUGUGGUGGGUUGUGGUGGCGAUGGAGGAGAUUGAGAGGUUAGAGAGAGAGAGAGAGUAGAAAUAAAAACCGAGGGUAAGUGUUUAAGGGGUAUUUUCGUCCAAAAUAUAACCCCUUAAACAGACAUCAGUAAAAAUACCCCCAUUAUAGUUGAGGGUUUUUUUUUGCUAAAACAAUUCAUAAGGGGUUUUUUUGGCUAAUAGAUGAAAGUCAAGGAGUUUUUUUUGCAAUUCGCCCUAUAUAUAUAUAUAUAUAUAUAUAUAUAUAUAUAUAAAUCUCACGGAUCGGAUCGAAUUUUUAACAGCUCAAUUCGUAAUCCAAUCCGUGAACUACGGAUUCCAUAUUAUUGAAUCCACGACCGAUCCACGAGUCUAACAAUCCGAUUUGAUCCACACCGAUCAAAUCAAAAUGGCAGAUCAAAUGUCCACCCCUUCUAAGGAUGAUAUGUGGUGAAUUAAGGCUUGGAAGGCUAUGGAAGGUCAUUGCAGUUCAAUUUUUACAUGUUUACACAGAUCAAAUCGGAUCUGGGGAUCAAAUGCCCACCCCUACCAAGGAUGAUAUGUGGUGAAUUAGGCUUGGAAGGCUAUGGAAGGUCAUUAAAGUUCAAUUUUUACAUGUUUACACAAAUAUUGUAACUUUUGUAGAAUUGAACAGGUAGUCCACCAUCUAUAACAUUGAGUUGACUGUGCCUUGGAGCACUUUGUCAUACAUGCGGUGGCUUAUGAAACUAAAACAGUUUUCAUUUUCUUAAUAAUUUGUCAAUACAUAAUGGAAUUUUAACAGGGUUUUCACCAACAGAGGCAGAGAUACAGCAGACAGUUUGUUAUAACGAUGAACAUGUAAACUGCAACAAUUGCAGAACCUGUAUGGUUGAUUUUCAUAGAAGCUGUCCGAAUUUUUUAAAGGUUACUCAGAAUGUAGAUCACACAGAAACUCUUCGCCUGAGAUGCUCAAACUGAAAGAUUGGCCCCCAUCUAAUUUAUUUGAGGAGCACUUACCACGCCAUGGUGCAGAAUUUGUCAGUGCCUUGCCAUAUUCAGAAUACACACAUCCCCGUUCUGGUCUGCUUAAUGUUGCCUCAAAGUUGCCCGAUAAAUCACUAAAGCCAGACCUUGGUCCUAAAACAUAUAUAGCAUAUGGAUUUUCUGAGAGCUAGGACGUGGAGAUUCUGUGACAAAGCUUCACUGUGACAUGUCAGAUGCGGUGAAUGUGUUGAUGCACACUGCAGAAGUGGCCUAUGCACCUCAGCAGCUUUCAAAAAUUAAAAAAUUGAAAAAUAAACAUGCUGCCCAAGACCAAGAAGAAAUUUUUGGGAUAGUUCCUAUAGAUAAUCAAGAGGCUGAGAAGCACGUCCCAGAAUCCAAUGGGAAGUUCAAAUCUGAGGGAGCUAACACUAGCUCAUGCGGUGAAGAUUAUUGUGCUGAGGUUAUUAAAGCUGAAGACAAGGGGGAAGAUGCUGACAUUUUGGGUAAAAAUGGAAAUAAUGUUAUGCAAGAUAUCAUGUUUGAUGAAAUAGAUCGAGUUUCUAGUUUGCCUUAAGAAAAGAAGACAAAGAACAGGCAGGGAAGAGGAGUUGGGCGAGGUAGUAAGAGGAACAGAGGAAAUA